rnacentral:rRNA from 1 species
CCCUUAGAUGUUCUGGGCUGCACGCGCGCUACACUGAAGCUAUCAACACGUUUUCCCUCCCUGAGAAGGGCGGGUAACCUUUUGAAUCAGCUUCGUGGUAGGGAUCGGGGCUUGCAAUUGUUCCCCGUGAACCAGGAAUUCCUAGUAGACGCGAGUCAUAAGCUCGCAUCGAUUAAGUCCCUGCCCUUUGUACACACCGCCCGUCGCUACUACCGAUUGAACGUUUUAGUGAGGCAUUUGGACCGACGCAUCUCAGUUUAACCGCUGGUUUGUGUUGGAAAGACUUCCAAACUUGAGCGUUUAGAGGAAGUAAAAGUGGUAACA